GACGAACGCUGGCGGCGUGCCUAAUACAUGCAAGUCGAGCGGAGCUGUUCCUUCGGGGACAGCUUAGCGGCGGACGGGUGAGUAACACGUAGGUAACCUGCCCACAAGACUGGGAUAACGUCCGGAAACGGAUGCUAAUACCGGAUACGUUGGUUUCUCGCAUGAGAGACCAUGGAAAGACGGUUCUGAUUAAAGUCAGGGCUGUCACUUAUGGAUGGGCCUGCGGCGCAUUAGCUAGUUGGUGGGGUAACGGCUCACCAAGGCGACGAUGCGUAGCCGACCUGAGAGGGUGAUCGGCCACACUGGGACUGAGACACGGCCCAGACUCCUACGGGAGGCAGCAGUAGGGAAUCUUCGGCAAUGGGCGAAAGCCUGACCGAGCAACGCCGCGUGAGUGAAGAAGGCUUUCGGGUCGUAAAACUCUGUUGCCAGAGAAGAACGUCCGGUGGAGUAACUGCCACCGGAGUGAC
rnacentral:rRNA from 1 species